rnacentral:rRNA from 1 species
AUGCAGAAAUUGCGCAGCUCAUGGUUCACCACAUUAUUCAGUACAGUAUCGGUAUACAUUGGCCAUUGCUUGCAGAAAGAGAAGAGAAGGGAUUUCCUGUCUCUAAGCCUGCAGCAGCUCGAGCCGGCGGAGGCGCUGGACCUCCUUGCCGAGGACGCUGCAUCGCACCAUGCUGCCGGCGGUGCGCCACAGGAGCUGGAGGUCGGCCCACGGCUCGCCGGGCGCCAUCCGCUUGUGCAGGUAGCAGUCGAACGUCCGGCGCUGCACGUGCUCGUCCGCGCACAUCUCCACCAGCGCCUCGCGCCCGGCGUUAUCGCCGUAGAAGACGCGCUGCAGCAGGUCCAGGAACCGGAACGUCAGCAGGAACUCGUCGUCCCACCGCCGCAGUUGUCGCAACCAGAUGUUGGAGCCCAGGAGCCAGACGCCACCUUCGACGACGACUACUACUACUCGGGAGGUGCCUACUACUACGUGCAGCCCGCUGACGGCGACCAGGAGUAG